rnacentral:rRNA from 1 species
ACUCAAAGGAAUAGACGGGGACCCGCACAAGCGGUGGAGCGUGUGGUUUAAUUCGACGCUACGCGAAGAACCUUACCAAGACUUGACAUCCUGCGAAGUCCACCGAAAGGUAGACGUGCCUCGCAAGAGGAACGCAGUGACAGGUGAUGCAUGGUCGUCGUCAGCUCGUGUCGUGAGAUGUUGGGUUAAGUCCCUUAACGAGCGCAACCCUUAUUGUAAGUUGUAUUUUUCUUACAAGACUGCCUCGGCAACGGGGAGGAAGGAGGGGUCGAAGUCAGAUCAGCAUGUCCCUUACGUCUUGGGCUACACACACGCUACAAUGGCCAGUACAAUGGGCAGCUAAGUCGCGAGAUGGAGCUAAUCCCACCAAAGCUGGUCUCAGUUCGGAUUGCAGGCUGCAACCCGCCUGCAUGAAGUCGGAAUCGCUAGUAACCGUAGGUCAGCACACUACGGUGAAUACGUUCCCGGGUCUUGUACACACCGCCCGU